rnacentral:rRNA from 1 species
CGCAAGUCUGAUGGAGCAACGCCGCGUGAGUGAUGAAGGUUUUCGGAUCGUAAAGCUCUGUUGUUGGUGAAGAAGGAUAGAGGCAGUAACUGGUCUUUAUUUGACGGUAAUCAACCAGAAAGUCACGGCUAACUACGUGCCAGCAGCCGCGGUAAUA